AUGACUUGGAGAUGCUCACGUGCACCACAAGUGAUUCUGAAGUUCUUUUGUUCUAGUUAACGGCAGAUUUCCACGAUAACGCCGUGCUGGGAGUAUACGGCAGGACAGAGCUAGGAAUUUCACCAACCAACACAGAUUCUCUCAGAUCACAGUUUCCUACAAACUUGGCUCUACAGACCACAACAGAUAAAUUCUAUCCUUCAAAUGUUCGCGCUCACGGUAAACUAGAACAGAAUAGGAAUAACCCACAUAGAGAAAUACCUCGUAGAACGUAAGAUUGAGAAACACAUAUGUAACAUGAGUUGCCAGCAAUUUAUCAUUCCACUCC
rnacentral:lncRNA from 1 species